CAGGGAGGAAUUCCUUCCCAACAUCCAUCCCAGGACUGGGAAUUGGGGAGGAAUUCCUUCCCAAUAUCCAUCCCAGCACUGGGAAUUGGAGGAAUUCCUUCCCAAUGUCCAUCCCAGCACUGGGAAUUGGAGGAAUUCCUUCCCAACAUCCAUCCCAGCACUGGGAAUUGGAGGAAUUCCUUCCCAGUAUCCAACCCUGCCCUGCCCUCUGGCACUGGGAAUCGGGGAAGAAAUCCUUCCCAGUAUCCAUCCCAGCACUGGGAAUUUGGGAGGAA